rnacentral:rRNA from 1 species
UGCCAGCAGCCGCGGUAAUACGUAGGGGGCAAGCGUUAUUCGGAAUGACUGGGCGUAAAGGGUACGUAGGCGGUUUGGUCAGUUAGAUGUGAAAGCCCAGGGCUCAACCUUGGAACUGCAUUUAAUACUGCCAGACUUGAGAUCGGAAGAGGAAAGCGGAAUUUCUAGUGUAGAGGUGAAAUUCGUAGAUAUUAGAAGGAACAUCAGAGGCGAAGGCGGCUUUCUGGUCCGAUACUGACGCUGAGGUACGAAAGCGUGGGGAGCAAAGAGGCUAAGAUA